rnacentral:lncRNA from 1 species
AUGACACGUUGCUCCCCCGGGGCAUCAGUCUUACAGAGCACUCAGCCUCCCCUGUCAAAGCGAUUGCCUUCAACCUUGCUCUUCGGUAUCUCUUUGUCAAGCUGCGCUGCCAUACGGGUCAGAUCACAGAACUUCCAUUCACCUCCAGCAAUCAAUACGGUGCCAUCCCCGCUAGGAUGGAAAGGCCUCGGCUGGAACAUGGAAAAUUCAGGAACUCUUGGUCAUCCUUUUCUGUCCUGUGGAUAUAUGUGCGGAGACCUCUACUGCAGCCAGAGAAGCAUGACUCAGUACUGUGGGGAGAAGGCACAAAACCAUGAAGGGCCUCCCAUGCGCCCUACCCGCAGAUCCAGUCCGGGCUCCAGUCCAUAGGCCUGGCGGCCUCUAUGCUCUCGGCUACCAUGAAACAGCCUAAUGACCUUCCACUAACCCCUUUUCCCCACUGACCUCCCCCCCAUGUCUUCGCUCUUCCUUUUAAGCU